UACGUAGGUGACAAGCGUUGUCCGGAUUUACUGGGCGUAAAGAGCGCGCAGGCGGUCGAUCAAGUCGAGUGUGAAAGCCCCCGGCUCAACUGGGGAGGGUCAUUCGAAACUGGUCGACUCGAAGGCAGGAGAGGGUAGUGGAAUUCCCGGUGUAGUGGUGAAAUGCGUAGAUAUCGGGAGGAACACCAGUGGCGAAGGCGACUACCUGGCCUGUUCUUGACGCUGAGGCGCGAAAGCUAGGGGAGCAAACGGGG
rnacentral:rRNA from 1 species